rnacentral:lncRNA from 1 species
AAAACUUAACGUGUUUACUUUUGUCAAUGUUAAUUUUCAUCUGCCAUUUACUGCACCAUUCUGAAAGAGUCGUUAAGUUGGAUUUCAGGGUCAAAGUGUCGUUCUGGUUUGUUAUUUCUUUAUAUAUUACGCAGUCAUCUGUAAAAAGACGUACGGAACACUGCAUGUUGGCCGAUAUAUCGUUUAUGUAGAUUAAAAAUAGCAGCGGUCCCAAAACUGAUCCUUGUGGGACUCCAGACCUGCAUGCGUGUGGUG